GGCCAUUGGCGGCGUGCUAUACAUGCAGUCGAGCGGACAGAAGGGAGCUUGCUCCCGGAUGUUAGCGGCGGACGGGUGAGUAACACGUGGGUAACCUGCCUGUAAGACUGGGAUAACUCCGGGAAACCGGAGCUAAUACCGGAUAGUUCCUUGAACCGCAUGGUUCAAGGAUGAAAGACGGUUUCGGCUGUCACUUACAGAUGGACCCGCGGCGCAUUAGCUAGUUGGUGGGGUAAUGGCUCACCAAGGCGACGAUGCGUAGCCGACCUGAGAGGGUGAUCGGCCACACUGGGACUGAGACACGGCCCAGACUCCUACGGGAGGCAGCAGUAGGGAAUCUUCCGCAAUGGACGAAAGUCUGACGGAGCAACGCCGCGUGAGUGAUGAAGGUUUUCGGAUCGUAAAGCUCUGUUGUUAGGGAAGAACAAGUGCGAGAGUAACUGCUCGCACCUUGACGGUACCUAACCAGAAAGCCACGGCUAACUACGUGCCAGCAGCCGCGGUAAUACGUAGGUGGCAAGCGUUGUCCGGAAUUAUUGGGCGUAAAGGGCUCGCAGGCGGUUUCUUAAGUCUGAUGUGAAAGCCCCCGGCUCAACCGGGGAGGGUCAUUGGAAACUGGGAAACUUGAGUGCAGAAGAGGAGAGUGGAAUUCCACGUGUAGCGGUGAAAUGCGUAGAGAUGUGGAGGAACACCAGUGGCGAAGGCGACUCUCUGGUCUGUAACUGACGCUGAGGAGCGAAAGCGUGGGGAGCGAACAGGAUUAGAUACCCUGGUAGUCCACGCCGUAAACGAUGAGUGCUAAGUGUUAGGGGGUUUCCGCCCCUUAGUGCUGCAGCUAACGCAUUAAGCACUCCGCCUGGGGAGUACGGUCGCAAGACUGAAACUCAAAGGAAUUGACGGGGGCCCGCACAAGCGGUGGAGCAUG
rnacentral:rRNA from 2 species